CAUCGCAGCUACCAUGCAGUCGAGGGGUAACAUAGAAAAGCUUGCUUUUCUGAUGACGACCGGCGCACGGGUGCGUAACGCGUAUACAACCUACCUUUUAGCGGGGAAUAGCCCAGGGAAACUUGGAUUAAUGCCCCAUAGUAUAUAGACUUCUCCUGAAGUUUAUAUUAAACAUUUAUGGCUAUUAGAUGGGUAUGCGUCCUAUUAGUUAGUUGGUAAGGUAACGGCUUACCAAGGCAGCGAUAGGUAGGGGUCCUGAGAGGGAGAUCCCCCCACACUGGUACUGAGACACGGACCAGACUCCUACGGGAGGCAGCAGUGAGGAAUAUUGGACAAUGGGCGAGAGCCUGAUCCAGCCAUGCCGCGUGCAGGAAGACUGCCCUAUGGGUUGUAAACUGCUUUUACAGAGGAAGAACCACCCCCACGUGUGGGGGUUUGACGGUACUCUGCGAAUAAGGAUCGGCUAACUCCGUGCCAGCAGCCGCGGUAAUACGGAGGAUCCAAGCGUUAUCCGGAAUCAUUGGGUUUAAAGGGUCCGUAGGCGGGCAGUUAAGUCAGUGGUGAAAGUCUUCCGCUCAACGGGAGAACUGCCAUUGAUACUGAUUGUCUUGAGUUAUUAUGAAGUGGUUAGAAUGAGUAGUGUAGCGGUGAAAUGCAUAGAUAUUACUCAGAAUACCGAUUGCGAAGGCAGAUCACUAAUAAUAUACUGACGCUGAUGGACGAAAGCGUAGGUAGCGAACAGGAUUAGAUACCCUGGUAGUCUACGCCGUAAACGAUGGUUACUAGCUGUUCGGCCCAAUUGAGGGCUGAGUGGUUAAGCGAAAGUGAUAAGUAACCCACCUGGGGAGUACGUUCGCAAGAAUGAAACUCAAAGGAAUUGACGGGGGCCCGCACAAGCGGUGGAGCAUGUGGUUUAAUUCGAUGAUACGCGAGGAACCUUACCAGGGCUUAAAUGUAGUCUGACAGGUCUGGAAACAGACUUUUCUUCGGACAGAUUACAAGGUGCUGCAUGGUUGUCGUCAGCUCGUGCCGUGAGGUGUCAGGUUAAGUCCUAUAACGAGCGCAACCCCUGUGGUUAGUUGCCAGCGAGUAAUGUCGGGAACUCUAGCCAGACUGCCGGUGCAAACCGCGAGGAAGGUGGGGAUGACGUCAAAUCAUCACGGCCCUUACGUCCUGGGGCCACACACGUGCUACAAUGGUAGGGACAGAGAGCAGCCACUUCGCGAGAAGGAGCGAAUCUACAAACCCUAUCACAGUUCGGAUCGCAGUCUGCAACUCGACUGCGUGAAGCUGGAAUCGCUAGUAAUCGCAUAUCAGCCAUGAUGCGGUGAAUACGUUCCCGGGCCUUGUACACACCGCCCGUCAAGCCAUGGAAGCCGGGGGUACCUGAAGUCGGUCACCGCAAGGAGCCGCCUAGGUAAACGUC
rnacentral:rRNA from 1 species